rnacentral:rRNA from 1 species
AGAGUUUGAUUAUGGCUCAGGACGAACGCUGGCGGCAUGCUUCAUACAUGCAAGUCGAACGAUAAGGUCUCUUCGGAGAUACAUAAGUGGCGGACGGGUGAGUAAUAUGUAGGAAAUCUGCCCUAGAGAGGGGGACAACAGAGGGAAACUUCUGCUAAUACCCCAUAUGAGCGUACCUGAGAUGGUAUUCUUGAAAACUCCGGUGCUCUAGGAUGAGCCUGCAUCUGAUUAGCUUGUUGGCGGUGUAAUGGACCACCAAGGCGACGAUCAGUAGCUGGUUUGAGAGGAUGAUCAGCCACAAUGGGACUGAGACACGGCCCAUACUCCUACGGGAGGCAGCAGUAGGGAAUUUUGCGCAAUGGGCGAAAGCCUGAACCGCAGCAAUGCCGCGUGAACGUAGAAGCCCUUCGGGGUGUAAAGUUCUGUCAGUGGGGACGAAUAAUGACGGUACCCACAGAGGAAGCACCGGCUAACUCCGUGCCAGCAGCGGC